GUCUGGGUUGCUAUGUUUAGCUCUCAUCUCUCUCAUUGUUUCACAGUUCCUUGCUCUGCUAGAAUGUAAGUUUCUUAAGGAUAAUUAUGACAUCAUAUUUCUCUACCCCAGAAACCAGCUGUAGCCCCAGAGACUCUGAAAGGUUUAUUCAAUGAAUAUAUAAAGCCAAGGAUGGAUAAAUCAAUUGUUCAGCAUGAUUAAAUUUAAGCAAAAUUAAAAAUUAGCAAUUAAUAUUGGAAAUAUGAACAAACAUGAGACCUGAUGAUUGUUUUUUAGACUCACUGAGCAUCAAUUUGAUGAGGUGAGGAAAUCGAGGUUUAGAGACUAAAGGAACUGGUUUUAGACCAAGGAAGUCUACCCUGGUACCUCUGUUUCAAUGAUGCCGAUGCUACAGUUUUUUGCAUGUGAUUCCUAUUUAAAGCUAGGCAUUUUGGAAUAAUCUUCGAACAUAUCCAGGAUGAUAAAUACACUUCAAAGCUUCCAUUUCUUUCUGCAAAGGUGGCAGAAUCUCAGGUGUGAGUCAUAACACAUUCUUUGUCAUAAAUAAUUAAUAUUUAUGGAGUUCCUGCUCUACCAUUUGGGUUGAAUGUGUUAGAGAUACAUGGGUUACCAUAUGAAGGAGAUAAAUGUUAUCAGAUGAAAGCAAAAGUGAUGCUGAUAGAGUGUAGAUAGGUAGAUAACUAUACACGGUAACCUCUGCUCACUAUUAGAUAAGAGGUACAAACUUUUGACUCCCUAAUGCUUCUAUUGAUCUUAGCCAAUCUACAUAAAUAUCAUCCAGUAACACUUUAGAUGAACUAUUCUUACAUUUAUUUCUUUUCCCACCUUUCUUUCUGGAUCACAUUACUUCCUUCUGGGAUCCUUUCUUCCUGAAGUACAUUCUCAGUAAACUUGAUAGGUCUUGCUUAGAGCUCAGGAUAAGACAUUUUAAAAAAAAGCCUUUUGGUAAUUGUGAUCCCAGAAGCCAUCAGGGUUGUGGGGAUCACGUGAGGAAGAGUAAGCUAUGGCUGAGGUUGUUGGAGGGACUUGAAGAGGGGUUGGGGUUUAGAGUAACCCUUGAUGGCAUGGGCAUCGUGGAUUAGAAGAAAAAAGGAGAAAACUUACUUUUUGGAAGGAACGAGAGGGGUGAGGAAGUGACAGCAGGAGGAGAGGAAUGAUGAAGGGCCCUGAGGCACUGAAUGCAUCCCAGUGGAUCUGGAAAGAGGAUCCAUAGUUGAGUCUCACUGGGCUGAAGGAAACUCCUGGGUGCUGAGUGAUGGGAAGAAGAAUUUUGUUGUCUCUUCCAUGGAGGAGAUACAUAGCAGAAUGGUUAUGAGUCUAUACCAUGAGUCAGACUAGUCUGGCCUUAAAUCCCUGCUGUAAAAUUUAUGUGGCUUUGAAUGAGUUAGUUAACCUCUGCAGGGGUUUUUCCCUCUCUAAAAUGUCAUAAUAGCUCCUACCACGGAGGGUUAUUAUAGAGAUUAAGUGAGAAAAUGCAUCUUUACUUUUUAGAACACUGACUCUCAAUAAGGUCUCAUUAAAUGUGAUUAUUAUUGCUGCUAUUUUAUUGAAAGUUAUACUGUGGAUAAGCUCAAUUUCUUCCUUUAAAUAUUUGCAGGUUUCAUGCAUAAAAACUGACCUUGAUUGCCAACCCUAUCUCGGAAGCGUCUCUGAGCUGGUUCUAACUGAGGUCUCAUCAGCUGUUGAGUCCUUAGAUGUUGCUCCCCGUCUUCGUGGAGGAACGACACAGGACCCUGCGCUGUUCUUUUGUCUGCUCGGCCCUCCCCAGAUGCUGAAUCUAAGAUCCGCAGGGAUGCAGGAAACUUGCCCAGAAACUUCAACCAGAGGUCACCUGGAGCACCUUUCUGGGUAACGUAUCUUGGCCUUCAUUCAUUAUGAGAAGAGGACUCCAGUCUAGGUGAUCUCUCUACCGACUCAGAUAUUUACCAGGUCCGUGACUCUUGCAGAAUCUCCGCUAGUGCUCAAGGUGAGGACAUGAAUGAUUUUGGUGAAAUGCAGAAUAUAGAUCAGCAUUACAGCAGAGGGAAAUGGACUAUUGUGGAAGGAUGAAAGUACCAAAGACAUUUUUCUUGUUACUAUUUAAGUAUUUUUUCCUCGGUCUGUUUUCUUGACUGCAGAUUAUUUGAAUACAGUGUCCACAUGUGAAUAAACUACCUCACCUGUACACGGUACCCUUCUCACCACCUCCCUUGUCAGGCCAAGCAGUCAGGAUAGACACAGGUGAAAACUUCGUGAACUCAAAGGAACUUCUGUUUCUAUUUCUUACACAUAAAAGUGUUGUCUACACAUACAUCUUGCUCAUUCUACUUAGUCAGGAUGGAAGUUAAAUCACACCAAAAUAUAAUGGUGUACCUAUAAUGUGCUGUCACAGGGUCGCAUUUCCUAACUCCACAGUGUCAGAGCCAGCACAGCACCACUCCUGCCUCUUCCAGUUCUUUCUCAGCUUCGCCAGGGGGUCCUUGCCUCACUCCACCUGCCUUAGUGCUGCUCCUGCCAUUUCCUUGUGAUGCCAUCGUUUCGCCUGCAGUUGGUUUUCCUCUCCUGAAAACAUGACCUGGGGAUGAGCCCUUCUCUGAAUUCCCCCAGCCUUCUACCUCCAGUCUCCUACACCUGCCAGGCUAUCAGUCUGCAUUUUAUGUGUUCAUUGUAAGUUCUUUUUUAUUUCCCUUUGAGGAAUCUGGGUAAUUUUGCUAGUGAAUGGGGUAGAAGUUGCGUUAUAGAGGAUCAGUUAUCACUGCUCCACGCUUCUGUGGCAAACUAAUCCACUCAACUUUGGGGGUGCUGCCUUUUGUAUUUCCUUUCAGUCCGACUAAAUCCACCUUAGAGCCUCAUCCCACAAAGAUGGGAAAGAAUGAAAGCUCAGAUUUCUUUGAGGAUUCUACAAUCAAAGGAGUGCUUAGGCCCAGGAUUCUAACACUCACAGGGCUAGUCCAGGAGCAGCAUUCCUUAACCAAGAUGUGAAGAGAAGCCCUCAAGGUAAGUUAUUAUUGAAAAAAACAAAAUCAAACACUAAAACGAUAACAUAGUAAGGGCACCAUCCCAGGGCUCUGCCCACUCCGCUAUGCUGUUAUGUCUGAGUGCCUGUUCCCCCACAUCUGUGUUGCCUGUGGUCUGCACCAGAGGAAAUGAUGCUGUAACACAGGACCAGAGAACUCACUGUUGUUUAUCACUCACAACUCAGUCUUCACGUUACCAUGGUAGGUAGGGACUAUUAUUUUUUGCCAUUUUACAGAAUCAGAAAUGUGGGCCUACGUUAUGUCAUAGUGGGUUAAGCCACAGUCUGCGAGGCUGGCAUCCCAUAUGGGCACUGGUUGGAGACCUGGCUGCUCCACUUCCAAUCCAAGUUCCUGCUUAUGUGCCUGGGA